GGGGCUGUAGCUCAGUGGCAGAGCGCUUGCCUAGCAUGCGUGAGGCACUGGGUUUGAUCCUCAGCACCA
rnacentral:tRNA from 1 species